UACGGAGGGUGCGAGCGUUGUCCGGAAUCACUGGGCGUAAAGGGCGCGUAGGCGGUUCGUUAUGUCGGAUGUGAAAGCCCUUGGCUUAACCGAGGAAGUGCAUCCGAAACUGGCGAGCUAGAGUACGAAAGAGGAUCGCGGAAUUCCCGGUGUAGAGGUGAAAUUCGUAGAUAUCAGGAGGAACACCGGUGGUGUAGACGGCUUUCUGGACCGUAACUGACGCUGAGACACGAAAGCGUGGGUAGCAAACAGG
rnacentral:rRNA from 1 species